rnacentral:rRNA from 1 species
CCUACGGGAGGCAGCAGUAAGGAAUAUUGGACAAUGGGCGCAAGCCUGAUCCAGCCAUGCCGCGUGAAGGAUUGAGGUCCUCUGGAUUGUAAACUUCUUUUAUAGGGGACGAAAAAAGGGCAUUCUUGCUCACUUGACGGUACCCUAUGAAUAAGCACCGGCUAACUCCGUGCCAGCAGCCGCGGUAAUACGGAGGGUGCAAGCGUUAUCCGGAUUCACUGGGUUUAAAGGGUGCGUAGGCGGGCAGUUAAGUCAGUGGUGAAAUCUCCGAGCUCAACUCGGAAACUGCCAUUGAUACUAUCUGUCUUGAAUAUUGUGGAGGUAAGCGGAAUAUGUCAUGUAGCGGUGAAAUGCUUAGAUAUGACAUAGAACACCUAUUGCGAAGGCAGCUUACUACGCAUAUAUUGACGCUGAGGCACGAAAGCGUGGGGAUCAAACAGGAUUAGAUACCCUGUAGUCCACGCCCUAAACGAUGGAUACUCGACAUACGCGAUACACUGUGUGUGUGUGNGNGAAGANAAUAAGUAUUCCACCGUGGUUAGUUACGUCGCGAGAGAGACGACGAAGAAGUUAGACGGCGNGAGACGNGCGACGGACGACGACGAGGGAGGUAGG